UACGGAGGGGGUUAGCGUUGUUCGGAAUACUGGGCGUAAAGCGCACGUAGGCGGAUCAGAAAGUUGGGGGUGAAAUCCCGGGGCUCAACCCCGGAACUGCCUCCAAAACUCCUGGUCUUGAGUUCGAGAGAGGUGAGUGGAAUUCCGAGUGUAGAGGUGAAAUUCGUAGAUAUUCGGAGGAACACCAGUGGCGAAAGGCGGCUCACUGGCUCGAUACUGACGCUGAGGUGCGAAAGUGGGGCAACGGAUUAGAUACCCCGUAGUCC
rnacentral:rRNA from 1 species